rnacentral:rRNA from 1 species
UGUGUAGGCGGCCAGAUAAGUCGGGUGUGAAAGCCCUGGGCUCAACCCAGGAAGUGCACUCGAUACUGCUUGGCUUGAGUACUGGAGAGGUUGGUGGAAUUCUCGGUGUAGAGGUGAAAUUCGUAGAUAUCGAGAGGAACACCGGUGGCGAAGGCGGCCAACUGGACAGAUACUGACGCUGAGACACGAAAGCGUGGGGAGCAAACAGGAUUAGAUACCCUGGUAGUCCACGCCGUAAACGAUGGGUGCUAGGUGUCACUGGCAUUGACUCCGGUGGUGCCGCAGCUAACGCAUUAAGCACCCCGCCUGGGAAGUACGGCCGCAAGGCUAAA